rnacentral:rRNA from 1 species
GGUCAAGUGAAGAAGCGCAUACGGUGGAUGCCUUGGCAGUCAGAGGCGAUGAAAGACGUGGUAGCCUGCGAAAAGCUUCGGGGAGUCGGCAAACAGACUGUGAUCCGGAGAUGUCUGAAUGGGGGAACCCAGCCAUCAUAAGAUGGUUAUCUUGUACUGAAUACAUAGGUGCAAGAGGCGAACCAGGGGAACUGAAACAUCUAAGUACCCUGAGGAAAAGAAAUCAACCGAGAUUCCCUUAGUAGUGGCGAGCGAACGGGGACCAGCCCUUAAGUUGUAUUGAGAUUAGCGGAACGUUCUGGAAAGGACGGCCAUAGUGGGUGAUAGCCCUGUACGCGAAAAUCCCUUUGCAAUGAAAUCGAGUAGGACGGGGCACGAGAAACCUUGUCUGAAUAUGGGGGGACCAUCCUCCAAGGCUAAAUACUACUGACUGACCGAUAGUGAACCAGUACCGUGAGGGAAAGGCGAAAAGAACCGCGGAGAGCGGAGUGAAAUAGAUCCUGAAACCGUAUGCGUACAAGCAGUGGGAGCCCACUUUGUUGGGUGACUGCGUACCUUUUGUAUAAUGGGUCAGCGACUUAUUUUCAGUGGCGAGCUUAACCGAAUAGGGGAGGCGUAGCGAAAGCGAGUCUUAAUAGGGCGUCUAGUCGCUGGGAAUAGACCCGAAACCGGGCGAUCUAUCCAUGGGCAGGUUGAAGGUUGGGUAACACUAACUGGAGGACCGAACCGACUACCGUUGAAAAGUUAGCGGAUGACCUGUGGAUCGGAGUGAAAGGCUAAUCAAGCUCGGAGAUAGCUGGUUCUCCUCGAAAGCUAUUUAGGUAGCGCCUCAUGUAUCACUGUAGGGGGUAGAGCACUGUUUCGGCUAGGGGGUCAUCCCGACUUACCAAACCGAUGCAAACUCCGAAUACCUACAAGUGCCGAGCAUGGGAGACACACGGCGGGUGCUAACGUCCGUCGUGAAAAGGGAAACAACCCAGACCGUCAGCUAAGGUCCCAAAGUCAUGGUUAAGUGGGAAACGAUGUGGGAAGGCUUAGACAGCUAGGAGGUUGGCUUAGAAGCAGCCACCCUUUAAAGAAAGCGUAAUAGCUCACUAGUCGAGUCGGCCUGCGCGGAAGAUGUAACGGGGCUCAAACCAUGCACCGAAGCUACGGGUAUCAUCUUAUGAUGAUGCGGUAGAGGAGCGUUCUGUAAGCCUGUGAAGGUGAGUUGAGAAGCUUGCUGGAGGUAUCAGAAGUGCGAAUGCUGACAUGAGUAACGACAAUGGGUGUGAAAAACACCCACGCCGAAAGACCAAGGUUUCCUGCGCAACGUUAAUCGACGCAGGGUUAGUCGGUCCCUAAGGCGAGGCUGAAAAGCGUAGUCGAUGGAAAACAGGUUAAUAUUCCUGUACUUCUGGUUAUUGCGAUGGAGGGACGGAGAAGGCUAGGCCAGCCUGGCGUUGGUUGUCCAGGUUUAAGGUGGUAGGCUGAGAUCUUAGGUAAAUCCGGGAUCUUAAGGCCGAGAGCUGAUGACGAGUGUUCUUUUAGAACAUGAAGUGGUUGAUGCCAUGCUUCCAAGAAAAGCUUCUAAGCUUCAGGUAACCAGGAACCGUACCCCAAACCGACACAGGUGGUUGGGUAGAGAAUACCAAGGCGCUUGAGAGAACUCGGGUGAAGGAACUAGGCAAAAUGGCACCGUAACUUCGGGAGAAGGUGCGCCGGUGGAGGUGAAGCAUUUACUGCGUAAGCCCCUGCCGGUCGAAGAUACCAGGCCGCUGCGACUGUUUAUUAAAAACACAGCACUCUGCAAACACGAAAGUGGACGUAUAGGGUGUGACGCCUGCCCGGUGCCGGAAGGUUAAUUGAUGGGGUUAGCGCAAGCGAAGCUCUUGAUCGAAGCCCCGGUAAACGGCGGCCGUAACUAUAACGGUCCUAAGGUAGCGAAAUUCCUUGUCGGGUAAGUUCCGACCUGCACGAAUGGCGUAACGAUGGCGGCGCUGUCUCCACCCGAGACUCAGUGAAAUUGAAAUCGCUGUGAAGAUGCAGUGUAUCCGCGGCUAGACGGAAAGACCCCGUGAACCUUUACUAUAGCUUUGCACUGGACUUUGAAUUUGCUUGUGUAGGAUAGGUGGGAGGCUUUGAAGCGUGGACGCCAGUCUGCGUGGAGCCAACCUUGAAAUACCACCCUGGCAACUUUGAGGUUCUAACUCAGGUCCGUUAUCCGGAUCGAGGACAGUGUAUGGUGGGUAGUUUGACUGGGGCGGUCUCCUCCUAAAGAGUAACGGAGGAGUACGAAGGUGCGCUCAGACCGGUCGGAAAUCGGUCGUAGAGUAUAAAGGCAAAAGCGCGCUUGACUGCGAGACAGACACGUCGAGCAGGUACGAAAGUAGGUCUUAGUGAUCCGGUGGUUCUGUAUGGAAGGGCCAUCGCUCAACGGAUAAAAGGUACUCCGGGGAUAACAGGCUGAUACCGCCCAAGAGUUCAUAUCGACGGCGGUGUUUGGCACCUCGAUGUCGGCUCAUCACAUCCUGGGGCUGAAGCCGGUCCCAAGGGUAUGGCUGUUCGCCAUUUAAAGUGGUACGCGAGCUGGGUUUAGAACGUCGUGAGACAGUUCGGUCCCUAUCUGCCGUGGACGUUUGAGAUUUGAGAGGGGCUGCUCCUAGUACGAGAGGACCGGAGUGGACGAACCUCUGGUGUUCCGGUUGUCACGCCAGUGGCAUUGCCGGGUAGCUAUGUUCGGAAAAGAUAACCGCUGAAAGCAUCUAAGCGGGAAACUUGCCUCAAGAUGAGAUCUCACUGGAACCUUGAGUUCCCUAAAGGGCCGUCGAAGACUACGACGUUGAUAGGUUGGGUGUGUAAGCGCUGUGAGGCGUUGAGCUAACCAAUACUAAUUGCCCGUGAGGCUUGACCAU